UACGUAGGGCGCAAGCGUUGUCCGGAAUUAUUGGGCGUAAAGAGCUCGUAGGCGGUUUGUCGCGUCUGUCGUGAAAGCUUGGGGCUUAACCCCAAGUCUGCGGUGGAUACGGGCAGACUAGAGGCAGGUAGGGGAGAACGGAAUUCCCGGUGUAGCGGUGAAAUGCGCAGAUAUCGGGAGGAACACCGGUGGCGAAGGCAGCUGCCUGGCCUGACACUGACGCUGAGGUGCGAAAGCGUGGGGAGCGAACGGG
rnacentral:rRNA from 1 species